rnacentral:lncRNA from 1 species
CAUGUAGAUCAAUGAGAAAGGUAUCUAGCAAGACAUAAAUUAAAAUAAAGCAAACUUUGUAUAGGAAGGACGAUGGUGCAUGAUUAUUGGCUUUAUUGCUGUUAUAUUGAUGAUUCUAAUAGAACAAUUAUGUGAAUACAGUUAUGUGAAUAGAUCCAUUGAUCAAUGUUAUAUAUUCUUUGUAGAUUUGAGAGCUACCGUCUCAGUUUGACUGUCCUUUCUUCUCCAACCACGUUCUUCCUUCUUCCUCUUUCAAUAUCGAUUAAGUUCAAGAGGAUUUCCGGUCUGUUUUCUUUUUGUUGUCUUUACAAAACAUUAUUAUCAAAACAAGAACCAAUAUUUCAAGCACUAUUCCAAUAAACGGCCACAAAGGUGCUAUUUUAUUCUGAAACAAAAACAAAAACAGCAAAACAACUUGCAUUAUCCACAUUCAGUGGCGGAUCCAGAAAUUUUCAUAAGUGGGGGCCCACUGACUGACCUAAGAGGGGGCCCGCUCCAGUCACG